ACGCUCGACACUAAGGAGGCAGCAGUGGGGAAUAUUGCACAAUGGGGGAAACCCUGAUGCAGCGACGCCGCGUGGAGGAAGAAGGUCUUCGGAUUGUAAACUCCUGUUGUUGGGGAAAAAGAGGAUGGUACCCAACAAGGAAGUGACGGCUAACUACGUGCCUGCAGCCGCGGUAAUCUGAGCGGGCUGGCAAGGC
rnacentral:rRNA from 1 species